rnacentral:ncRNA from 1 species
CUCGUUUCACGGUCUGCCGGCCGUGAGACGAGUCAGAAACCGUUGAUGUAGGCGAAGGACAUGCGAAAGGUCCGGCGUAGAGGGUAAGACCCCCGUAGUCGAAACGUCAGCGGCUCGUUUGAGAGACACCCAAGUAGCACGGGGCCCGAGAAAUCCCGUGUGAAUCUGGCGGGACCACCCGCUAAGCCUAAAUAUUCCCUGGUGACCGAUAGCGGAUAGUACCGUGAGGGAAUGGUGAAAAGUACCGCGGGAGCGGAGUGAAAUAGUACCUGAAACCG